rnacentral:rRNA from 1 species
GACGAACGCUGGCGGCGUGCCUAAUACAUGCAAGUAGGACGCAGUUGCGAACGGGUGAGUAACGCGUAGGUAACUACCUAUUAGAGGGGGAUAACUAUUGGAAACGAUAGCUAUACCGCAUACUAGUAGAUGGACCUGCGUUGUAUUAGCUAGUAGGUAGGGUAAUGGCCUACCUAGGCAACGAUACAUAGCCGACCUGAGGGGUGGGAUGGGCCAACCGGGAAUGGGACACAGCCCAGACGCCUACGGGGGGCAGCAGUAGGGAAUGUUGGGAAAUGGGGGGAACCCUGACCGAGAAACGCCGCGUGAGUGAAGAAGGUUUUCGGAUCGUAAAGCUCUGGUGUUAAGGAAGCGGUACUUAACCAGAAAGGGACGGCUAACUACGUGCCAGCAGCCGCGGUAAUAC